rnacentral:rRNA from 1 species
UACCGAGUGAGGGCCCUCUGGGUCCACCUCCCACCCGUGUUUAUUUACCUUGUUGCUUCGGCGAGCCUGCCUUUUGGCUGCCGGGGGACGUCAGUCCCCGGGUCCGUGCUCGCCGGAGACACCUUAGAACUCUGUCUGAAGAUUGUAGUCUGAGAUUAAAUAUAAAUUAUUUAAAACUUUCAACAACGGAUCUCUUGGUUCCGGCAUCGAUGAAGAACGCAGCGAAAUGCGAUACGUAAUGUGAAUUGCAGAAUUCAGUGAAUCAUCGAGUCUUUGAACGCACAUUGCGCCCUCUGGUAUUCCGGAGGGCAUGCCUGUCCGAGCGUCAUUGCUGCCCUCAAGCACGGCUUGUGUGUUGGGCCCCGUCCUCCUUCCGGGGGACGGGUCCGAAAGGCAGCGGCGGCACCGCGUCCGGUCCUCAAGCGUAUGGGGCUUUGUCACUCGCUUUGUAGGCCUGGCCGGCGCUUGCCGAUCAACCAAACUUUUUAUCAGGUUGACCUCGGAUCAGGUAGGGAUACCCGCUGAACUUAAGCAUAUC